rnacentral:lncRNA from 1 species
GAGCUCCUGAGAUAGGGUCUUUCCAGAGUAUUAUAGAUUUGAUCCUUAAGCAGGGUGUCUUCCUGGUUUUUGGAAGACUGUGCUAGUUUGGUGAGUAUUUGACAAUUCAAGUUUCUUCUACAUAAAAGGCAUCAGAAUGACAUUUCCUAGGAAAAUUCAUGCUGCGGGCACAGCCUGUGUGACAGUGAAAUGACAAUAUUAGGUGCUCGGGCUCCAUCCUUUC